rnacentral:rRNA from 1 species
CCUACGGGAGGCAGCAGUGAGGAAUAUUGGUCAAUGGACGAGAGUCUGAACCAGCCAAGUAGCGUGAAGGAUGACUGCCCUAUGGGUUGUAAACUUCUUUUAUAUGGGAAUAAAACGUUCCACGUGUGGGAUUUUGUAUGUACCCUAUGAAUAAGGCUCGGCUAACUCCGUGCCAGCAGCCGCGGUAAUACGGAGGAUCCGAGCGUUAUCCGGAUUUAUUGGGUUUAAAGGGAGCGUAGGUGGAGUGUUAAGUCAGUUGUGAAAGUUUGCGGCUCAACCGUAAAAUUGCAGUUGAAACUGGCAGUCUUGAGUACAGUAGAGGUGGGCGGAAUUCGUGGUGUAGCGGUGAAAUGCUUAGAUAUCACGAAGAACGCCGAUGGCGAAGGCAGUUCACUGGACUGCAACUGACACUGAGGCUCGAAAGUGUGGGUAUCAAACAGGAUUAGAUACCCUUGUAGUC